GGAGGUAAAGCUUAGAGCAUGUGCUUGGCAUGCACAAGGUCUUGGGUUCAAUCCCCAGUACCUCCU
rnacentral:tRNA from 1 species